rnacentral:rRNA from 1 species
AACCUGGUUGAUCCUGCCAGUAGCGUAUGCUUCUCCUAAAGACUAAGCCAUGCAUGCCCGAAUAUGAGGUGACGGUCUCUCUGAAUCUGCGAACGGCUCCGCAAACCAGUUGUAAUACACGGCGCGUCCACGUCUUGAUCGGGCACUCGUGCUGGGUCUUGACACAUCAAACUAGUUGGAUAUCCCUGGUAAUUCUGGGGCUAAUACAUGACUGCAACACAGAGCCUCAUCGCUGUUUUACGGGGUAACUCGUAUAGUCGGGUGGGGGGACGUGCGAAAACCAAAUAAAUGAAGCUCGGAUCAACGACUUCACGAGAUGAGCGCACGUUUUAUACCCGCAUGUUCACUUGUUGGGCACCAGGCGUUAUUUUGAAGGCGGCUUGCGCCCUACUCGGGUCUUUCUUGGCUAUGUGUGGUUCGUCCGCAAUUUCCGGGGGGGCUUAGAGGGGGAAUCACGUAGGUAUCGUCCCGAUGGUUUCGUCCUGGGCGGGGUAGCGCAGCGGCUUCUGACCUAUCAACUAGAAUGCGAUGUAAGGGAUUGCAAUGGUGACAACGGGUACAGAGGAUUAGGGUUCGAUCCUGGAGAGUGGGCCUGAGAGAUUGCUCCUACUUCUAAGGAAGGCAGCAGGCGCGCAAAGUUCCCCUUGAGUUUACAGCUUGAGGGCGUUAGGGGAAAUAUGAAUGACCAUCUAAU